rnacentral:rRNA from 1 species
UACGAAGGUCCCGAGCGUUAUCCGGAUUUAUUGGGUUUAAAGGGUGCGUAGGCGGGUUAUUAAGUCAGUGGUGAAAGCCUUCAGCUUAACUGAAGAAUUGCCAUUGAUACUGAUGAUCUUGAGUAUGAUUGAGGUGGGCGGAAUGUGUCAUGUAGCGGUGAAAUGCUUAGAUAUGACACAGAACACCGAUUGCGAAGGCAGCUCACUAAGCCAUAACUGACGCUGAUGCACGAAAGUGUGGGUAGCAAACAGG